AGAGAAGUCACGCGUCUGCUAGAAUUUCCCUCUAGGGCUGAAUGAGACUACCCUAUCUGCCACAGCCCGAAUGGACUAAUGCAUCACUUGAAUAAACUGUAAAGAGUUGGUGGAUGACAAGAACACGACUGUAUGGUGGUCACAUCCCUCAAGUUAGGCACUGGAUGUAGGGAUACACGUGUGUGGAGAAGCUGGUCACCUAAGCUACAUGGCCCAGGGCUUGUCUUCAUGAUGAAAACGAUGACAGCAAGGAUGACAUGGAGG